GUUUUCCAUGUGUUAAAGUGCAUUGAUUAGCGAAUAAUUCACGGUGUGGACCAUUCUGUAUGGUUACUACGUGAAAUGUAUUUGUAUGUGAAAAUAAAAAAUCUGCCCUUCUGUGUGCUACAGAACCUAGCGUAUCGUGUUAUGAGCGUUUUUGCUGCAGAUGGUAUAUAUGUGACAGUUGGGUUGGCUCGAAGUACCUAUGCAAGAGUAGUAUCAUGUUUGUCUCCCAGUGAGCAGAGCAGUGUGAGUUUUUAUUAUUGCAUUAAGCUGAUAAAAAUGCAGAUCGGGCAACCCCCCUGUCGAAUUCAUGCGAACGAGAGUUGUGCGAACGUACUGUAUAUGGAGUGAAAAGUGAAUGGACUUACUGUUUGCGUUGAAAACUGCCGAAAGGACCCGUUCGACUGUGUAAUACUCACUGCC